UACGUAGGGUGCAAGCGUUAAUCGGAAUUAUUGGGCGUAAAGCGCGCGCAGGCGGUCCUUUAAGUCUGAUGUGAAAUCCCACGGCUCAACCGUGGAAGGUCAUUGGAAACUGGGGGACUUGAGUACAGAAGAGGAAAGCGGAAUUCCAAGUGUAGCGGUGAAAUGCGUAGAGAUUUGGAGGAACACCAGUGGCGAAGGCGGCUUUCUGGUCUGUAACUGACGCUGAGGCGCGAAAGCGUGGGGAGCAAACAGG
rnacentral:rRNA from 1 species